rnacentral:rRNA from 1 species
UUCGCCCUUAGAGUUUGAUCCUGGUUCAGGAUGAACGCUAGCUACAGGCUUAACACAUGCAAGUCGAGGGGCAGCAUUUUAGUUUGCUUGCAAACUGAAGAUGGCGACCGGCGCACGGGUGAGUAACACGUAUCCAACCUGCCGAUAACUCCGGGAUAGCCUUUCGAAAGAAAGAUUAAUACCGGAUAGCAUACGAAUAUCGCAUGAUAUUUUUAUUAAAGAAUUUCGGUUAUCGAUGGGGAUGCGUUCCAUUAGUUUGUUGGCGGGGUAACGGCCCACCAAGACAACGAUGGAUAGGGGUUCUGAGAGGAAGGUCCCCCACAUUGGAACUGAGACACGGUCCAAACUCCUACGGGAGGCAGCAGUGAGGAAUAUUGGUCAAUGGGCGAGAGCCUGAACCAGCCAAGUAGCGUGAAGGAUGAAGGCUCUAUGGGUCGUAAACUUCUUUUAUAUGGGAAUAAAGUAUUCCACGUGUGGAAUUUUGUAUGUACCAUAUGAAUAAGGAUCGGCUAACUCCGUGCCAGCAGCCGCGGUAAUACGGAGGAUCCGAGCGUUAUCCGGAUUUAUUGGGUUUAAAGGGAGCGUAGGUGGAUUGUUAAGUCAGUUGUGAAAGUUUGCGGCUCAACCGUAAAAUUGCAGUUGAAACUGGCAGUCUUGAGUACAGUAGAGGUGGGCGGAAUUCGUGGUGUAGCGGUGAAAUGCUUAGAUAUCACGAAGAACUCCGAUUGCGAAGGCAGCUCACUAGACUGUCACUGACACUGAUGCUCGAAAGUGUGGGUAUCAAACAGGAUUAGAUACCCUGGUAGUCCACACAGUAAACGAUGAAUACUCGCUGUUUGCGAUAUACAGUAAGCGGCC